GAUGAACGCUGGCGAAAUGCUUUACACAUGCAAGUCGUACGAAAGCUUUUAGCUUAAGUGGCGGACGGGUGAGUAAUACGUAAGAAUUUGCCUUUAGGAGGGGGAUAACAGCUGGAAACGGUUGCUAAUACCCCAUAUGCUUUUAAGUGAAAUGGGUUUCCGCCUAAAGAAAAGCUUACGGCUGAUUAGCUUGUUGGUAAGGUAAUGGCUUACCAAGGCGACAAUCAGUAUCUGGUUUGAGAGGAUGAUCAGACACACUGGAACUGAGACACGGUCCAGACUCCUACGGGAGGCAGCAGUGGGGAAUUUCCGCAAUGGCGCAAGCCUGACGGAGCAAUUCGCGUGAAGGAUGACGGCCUAUGGGUUGUAAACUGCUUUUACGGGAUAAACACAUCUACGAGUAGAUGUCUGAAGGUACCGUAUGAAUAAGGAUCGGCUAACUCCGUGCCAGCCGCCGCGGUAA
rnacentral:rRNA from 1 species